rnacentral:rRNA from 1 species
CGUGUAGGCUGCCCCGAAAGUCAGGUGUGAAAGCCCUGGGCUCAACCCAGGAAGUGCACUUGAAACUUCGGGGCUUGAGUUCUGGAGAGGAUGGCGGAAUUCUCGGUGUAGAGGUGAAAUUCGUAGAUAUCGAGAGGAACACCGGUGGCGAAGGCGGCUAUCUGGACAGUGACUGACGCUGAGACGCGAAAGCGUGGGGAGCAAACAGGAUUAGAUACCCUGGUAGUCCACGCCGUAAACGAUGGGUGCUAGGUGUCGCGGGCUUUGACCCCUGCGGUGCCGUAGCUAACGCAUUAAGCACCCCGCCUGGGGAGUACGGCCGCAAGGCUAAA